rnacentral:lncRNA from 1 species
CCCCUGCCUGGUGCCGAUGAUGGAUGGAGAGCCUCCACCUGGUGUCGAUGGAACCAACGAUCCUGGUGCCUCGUUGCAUAUGUCUCAUUGUUUAUUAAUUUUUACUAUAUAUGAACGUGUGCACUUCAUAUAUGCCAUGCCCAGCCAAGGCACCGGCACCAGCCAAGGCACUGCCCAGCUAGGCGGCGACGGCAGGCAGCAAGUCAGUCACGGUAGCUGCCCAGCCAGCCAGCCCAGUGAAGA